UUAUUUUUCAAAAGAAAGAAAACCAAAAAAAAACGAAAAAUUUUCAAUUAUUGGAGGGAUAAUCAAUCGUCCCGUUGCUGGAAAAUCGACAGCAGGUACUUAAUAAAAAAAGAACCUAAGUUAACGUCCAGUUGAGAUGAAUCAAAAUUCUAAAAUAUUUCCAUUUUCAUCCAAACGAUUGGCUUAAAACAAUCAAACGAGGAGGGUCUAAAAGCAAUUAUCUGCGGAAAUCGUUACAAUUUUUACUUUCAUCUUGACUGCGCAUUUGGAGGGGGGGGGGGGGGUGCAGUGAUGUAACUUGUUGAGACGAAAUAAUCCCGAUCCAUUCAGCGGAUGUCGAGCACGGGUGCGAAAAACACUUUUAUUGUUUUUGCUGUUUGGAUUUAGUUUUUAGGGUUUAUAGUUUAUAUCGAUUUCUUAAAGAUGACUCAUUGUCGAAUGUCGACGAAGGAAAGUCAAAAGGGUCGUCUGCUUUCUUUUUGCUUUCUACAAGUUUAUAAAAAGAGACAAAGUUUUUAAGAUUACAAAGAAAAUUGAACGAUAACUUUCUUGGAAACGUAUGUAUCUGCACGAAAAAUAGCAGUACAAAUAAAAUUACAAAAAUGUGCUCGUCGUGUCAACUCUGGUCAGUGGUCGCGUUUCUUUAUAGAAUCACUCAAUGCAAACUCCAUGCUGUUUGGCAGAUUUGAGGCAUGAGCCAGCCAUCAUAACAAGAAGAUAUGCAAGUGCUGGUAUUAUCCUGUCAUCAGCAACAAUCUCUGUAUCAUGGCUUGGAUAAACAGCAUCUCGUUUGAUUGAAGAUACCACCAAUGUCGAUCGAGUUAUGUAUCUCUUCUUCUCCUUUUUUUAAACCUCCUCUGUUUC